GAUGAACGCUGGCGGCGUGCCUAAUACAUGCAAGUCGAGCGAACAGAUGAGGAGCUUGCUCCUCUGACGGUAGCGGCGGACGGGUGAAUAACACGUGGAGAACCUACCUAUAAGACUGGGAUAACUUCGGGACACCGGAGCUAGUACCGGAUAAUAUAUUGAACCGCAUGGUUCAAUAGUGAAGGACGGUUUUGCUGUCACUUAUAGAUGGAUCCGCGCCGCAUUAGCUAGUUGGUAAGGUAACGGCUUACCAAGGCAACGAUGCGUAGCCGCCCUGAGAGGGUGAUCGGCCACACUGGAACUGAGACACGGUACAGACUCCUACGGGAGGCAGCAGUAGGGAAUAGUCCGCAAUGGGCGAAAGCCUGACGGAGCAACGUCGCGUGAGUGAUGAAGGUCUUCGGAGCGUAAAACUCUGUUAUUAGGGAAGAACAAAUGUGUAAGUAACUAUGAACGUCUUGACGGUAACUAAUGAGAAAGCCACGGCUAACUCCGUG
rnacentral:rRNA from 1 species